rnacentral:lncRNA from 1 species
ACGAAUGGCGAAGACGCACAACUGUGGAUGUGGAAACCAAGAUCCCUAUUAGUCACUGAUAAGCGCAUGUGCCCAAGGGUUUUUGUUAAAUUAUUUUAUAAUUUUCUCUCUCUCUCUCUGCUGUCUCUCACUGUCUCUCUCUCUCUCUCUCUCUCUCUCUCUCUCUCUCUCUCUCCGCCCCCUUGAGUUUGUACUAAAGCUUGUUACACACACACACACACACGUCCGAGCUCGGUCAACAUGCGUCUGUUUUCUGUUCCUUUUUUGCCAAUGAAGCAAAAAAUGAUUUUUUUACAUUUUGGAAGAAAACUACUCUAAAACAUUGGGGCGAAAAAAAAAAAAACCCCGAAGCUUCAAGUUCUGGCCUCUUACAGUGUUUUAAAGUUGGCGAGACUUGGCUGAUUUUUAAGAAAUUGGCACUAAUGCAUCUAUAUAUAUCUGGGGUUACGUGGUCUCUUUUCUAAUUGUAUAAUUUAAUUGAGUACAGAGUUUGUAAGAUAUCAGAGUAUAUAUAUUGUUUCUACAACAUGGUGUUGCAUUUAUAUCUUUUUACUACUCCAGUGAUCUGUGAUGGCUGCAGAAGCUUUAUGUUAUAAUAUAUUUUGUUUUUAUUUUUUGUUUCUCUUUUUUUUAUGUUGUUCUUUAUUUUCAGAAAGGUUUAUUGAGAAGUUUUUUGCAGAACCCCCAGUUUCUUCUGUGGCGGUGUUUGAAUCCUUUACGGUUUACUGCAAUAAAACCUUUUGUCCAUUGGAAGGGAUCCAUGGAUGUUAUAAGGUAUUCAUGGAUCCAUCGAUGGCAAUAACAGUCCUUUAAGAGUUAUACAGUGGGGGGAAAAGUCUAGGACUACAAUAAAAAGCUGAAACAUUCUCUCAUAAACCUGAUAUUAAUAGUGAAAUAUGUCAGCAUUUAGAAGUACAAGCAAUAUGCAUGACCUCAAAUCUGCUCUACACUGACUUAAAGCCAAAAAACAACAAAAACAAACAACAAAUAUCUUAAUAAAUGCAGAGAUUUCAGAAUUCCCUUAUGAAACAAAAAUAUAUUGCAGUAUAUUGGAAAAUAUCAUAUUAGGCAUAUAUUUUAAUAUAUAUUUAUUUUUUCCAAUAUAUUGCAAUAUAUUGAAAGCG